AUGGACCAGACCGGCAAGGGAUACGUGACCAUGACGUCGGUGCCGCCGAAGCGGCCGGCAGGGCGGACCAAGACGCUGCACCCGGUGUACCGCGGCGUGCGGCGCCGCGCGGGGCGGUGGGUGAGCGAGGUGCGCGAGCCCAACAAGAAGUCGCGCAUCUGGCUCGGCACCUUCGCCACCCCGGAGGCCGCCGCGCGCGCCCAUGACGUGGCCGCCCUCGCCCUGCGCGGCCGCGGUGCCUGCGUCAACUUCGCUGACUCCGCGUCCCUCCUCGUGGUCGACCCGGCCACGCUCUGCACGCCCGAGGACAUCCGCACCGCCGCCAUCGCGCUCGCCGAGGCUGCGUGCCCCGCCGCGGCCCAGGCGUCCGCGUCCGCGCCCGCCCCGGCGACGAUGACGAUGCAGGAUGCCGCGGCGGUGCCGUAUGACGACGACUACGGCUUGCAGUACGUUGACAUGGACCUGCAUUCCUACUACUACGAUGGGAUGGGUGCCGGCGGAGGCUGGAGUAUGAACGGAGACGAUGACGAUGACGACGACGGCGCCGGAGACAUUACGCUGUGGAGCUACUGA
rnacentral:rRNA from 1 species